CAGAAUCUUCUCCAAUCUGGAUGUGAUCACAUUGUGCAGGUGUUCCCAGGUGUCCAAGGCGUGGAAUGUCCUGGCCUUGGAUGGUAGUAACUGGCAGAAGAUUGAUCUGUUCAACUUCCAGACAGACAUAGAGGGUAGAGUAGUGGAGAACAUC